UACAGAGGGUGCAAGCGUUAAUCGGUAUUACUGGGCGUAAAGCGUGCGUAGACGGUUAUGUAAGUCAGAUGUGAAAGCCCAGGGCUCAACCUUGGAAUUGCAUUUGAGACUGCAUAGCUAGGGUGCGGAAGAGGGAAGCGGAAUUUCCGGUGUAGCGGUGAAAUGCGUAGAUAUCGGAAGGAACACCAGUGGCGAAAGCGGCUUCCUGGUCCAGCACCGACGUUCAGGCACGAAAGCGUGGGGAGCAAACAGG
rnacentral:rRNA from 1 species